rnacentral:rRNA from 1 species
AUUGAACGCUGGCGGCAGGCCUAACACAUGCAAGUCGAGCGAGCGGGGGACGGGUGAGUAAAGUAUGGGGACAGCCCGAGAGAGGGGGGUAACUAUUGGAAACGGGAUCUAAUACCGCAUACGAUCGGAUAACCCAUAGGGGAUUAGGUAGUAGGUGGGGUAAUGGCUCACCAAGGCGACGAUCCCUAGCUGGUCUGAGAGGAUGAUCAGCCACACUGGGACUGAGACACGGCCCAGACUCCUACGGAGGCAGCAGUGGGGAAUAUUGCACAAUGGGCGCAAGCCUGAUGCAGCCAUGCCGCGUGUAUGAAGAAGGCCCUAGGGUUGUAAAGUACUUUCAGUCGGGAGGCGUUACCGACAGAAGAAGCACCGGCUAACUCCGUGCCAGCAGCCGCGGUAAUUC